rnacentral:rRNA from 1 species
CACGUAGGGUGCGAGCGUUGUCCGGAAUUAUUGGGCGGAAAGAGCUCGUAGGCGGUGUGUCGCGUCGGCCGUGAAAACCUGCAGCUUAACUGUGGGCGUGCGGUCGAUACGGGCAUCACUGGAGUUCGGCAGGGGAGACUGGAAUUCCUGGUGUAGCGGUGAAAUGCGCAGAUAUCAGGAGGAACACCGGUGGCGAAGGCGGGUCUCUGGGCCGAUACUGACGCUGAGGCACGAAGGCCAGGGGAGCAAACGGG